rnacentral:lncRNA from 1 species
AGACAGUAAAGAAAGUGAGUUAGAAGGAAGAAGAAGAUCCCAAAGCCUACCUGAAGAAGCACCCUCUGCCCUGUCCAGUCCUGAUGCUAACAAGUCCUCAGAUGUUGACAGUCCAGACACCUACAGUCCAGCAACCUUGGCCAAGCACUACAAGACCCUACAAACUUUGUAUAAAAGAAAAAAUCCAAACCACCAGGAUGUCUCUCAUCUCUUGGAUUUGGAAUUUGUUGCCAGAAGAGCAUUCAUUGAUUCAAAUACCGUUCGUGAGGAGGACAGACACGAGAGGGUUCUAGAAGCAUAUCCUUGUAUCAAGGAUGUCGGACAUGUGAUGGAGGAGCUUCAACGCAUUUUGGAUAAAGAUAAUACCAACUUCAUUGAUGAACUGAAGGGAAGAUGGCAUGACUCUGCCAGAAGGUGCAGUUUUUUGGUGUAUGGAAAAAGGCGCUAA